GAAGUGUCAGACUCUGAGUUAUAGAAUCGACUGGAACCAGUGUAACUGCACUGGGAGCAGAGCGGUGGUUGUCCUGAGGCGUAAACUGACAGUAUGUCAACAAUGCUCUUGUUUCCUUCACUUGGACUAAUGAGCUGCUCGUUGACAGAUGAGAUGAUGUGAUGACUAAAGACAGUAAAACGAAUCCAGAGGCUGUAGUGGCUGAAUGCUGGUUCUGUUCUGGUGGGAAUAAAAUCAAUUAACAGUUUGUGUGAUUGGUGUUUGUUUGUGUUCUUUUCCACAAGUGACGUGUUGUUGUCUUUUUGUCCUCAAGGACCCAGAGACUCGGGACAUGGAGGACCCGGCUUCAUGCAGGACCAGGAUAACUCUGACAACAACACCAUCUUCGUACAAGGCCUGGGAGACGACUACACGGUCGAGUCAGUGGCCGACUUCUUUAAGCAGAUUGGAAUCAUUAAGGUCAACAAGAAAACGGGUCUCCCAUGAUCAACCUGUACACAGACGAGGAGGCAGGGGA